GAGCGGGCUGCGUUCGCUGGUCGAAUCUCGGAGAUUCGUCCUCUGAGCUUCUGCUCCGUGGGGUUUUUACCGGAAACAGCCGGCCGCUUCCGGUGUUUCGGCUUUCCGGGCUUCGCGUGACUCCAGCCUGCCGUUAGGUGGCGUUCCUAGCGGUUAUUUUUUUGUUUCCGGUUGAAACACUGAGGCCAUUUCCGCAGAGCCAGUAGCCAGUUAGAAACGUUUACCUUGUCUUCUGAAUUGGCAGGUAUGAACAAGUCUCAUCCAGGGUCAUAUCAAGACUUCAAAUGUCAGUUAAUUUAAAACUUCUCUUCCAGCCUGGAGACAUGAAGGAAAAUGGAAGUUAAGAUCAGUGUCAUUUCUAUUUCUCAUGUACCACCACCUGCCUACCUGCUGGCUGCGAUCUGGAUCUGCCAGCCUUCUGUAGCAAGGAAAGGAGGAGGAGGAUGUGUCAAGCUCUCCAAAUGGUGGCCCCUUCGGUUGGCACAAGGUGAAGAGGAAGCACCCCCACCCCCUCCUGCCUGGGGAGAAGAAGGGAGAUGUCCAGCAUACUGACAAGUGCCUCUAGAGGAAUCCGCUCAUGUUCUCUUCCAGGACCUGGAGAAAAUAGUGACAAGAGCUCUCUAAAAACUAGAGAUCAGCAAACCACCCGAAAUUCGGAAAGCUUUACCAUUGAAGUUCAAAAGUGCUUGGGACGAGAGAAUGUAAACAUCGACAGAACAGCAGCCCUAUAACCACAUGAGUACUUUCCCAUCAGGUAGAUUCCGUCAGCCAGCCGAGU